GAUGAACGCUGGCUACAGGCUUAACACAUGCAAGUCGAGGGGAAACGACGGGGAAGCUUGCUUCCCCGGGCGUCGACCGGCGCACGGGUGAGUAACGCGUAUCCAACCUGCCUCUGACUGAGGGAUAACCCGUCGAAAGUCGGCCUAAUACCUCAUGGCAUCGUCUGCGGGCAUCCAACGACGAUUAAAGAUUUCAUCGGUCAGGGAUGGGGAUGCGUCUGAUUAGCUUGUUGGCGGGGUAACGGCCCACCAAGGCUACGAUCAGUAGGGGUUCUGAGAGGAAGGUCCCCCACAUUGGAACUGAGACAAGGUCCAAACUCCUACGGGAGGCAGCAGUGAGGAAUAUUGGUCAAUGGGCGGGAGCCUGAACCAGCCAAGUAGCGUGCAGGAUGACGGCGCUAUGGGUUGUAAACUGCUUUUAUGCGGGGAUAAAGUGAGGGACGUGUCCUUCAUUGCAGGUACCGCAUGAAUAAGGACCGGCUAAUUCCGUG
rnacentral:rRNA from 1 species